rnacentral:lncRNA from 1 species
UGAAAACAAACCCUGAUUUUUAGUAUCACAGACUAUGGAGUUUAUGAACUAAGGACAACUCUUGUGUGUCAAAGAUCACUGCACUAUUACUGUAUGUCACUGUAAGCUUUUUCUAAAUCCCCACAGCUCCCCAGAGUCCCCUAGUUCAUUUUAAACUCCUCCUUUUAUCUCAGUGCCCUUAACAGAGCACACAAGCAGUGCUUAAGCCCUUUCCAAGUUAAUUCCUUUCCCUCCCCAGUUCUCAGCAAACAGGUGCAGAGACCUCCCACACGCAGCCAUUAUCCCCUAACAACCAGCACAAUUCCGCAGCAGGCCUCAGCGGGCACCCUCCGAGCCUGGGCCAAGCAUUACAUUACUCUCUGCCCAUACAUUAAAUGCAAACUCCAAUCAUCUGUAGUAUUAGCAUACAGUGUUUAGUAUACAGCAUUUAUGUUAGCUGACUGGUCUGGCUGUCAGGUGGUUGUAAAGCAGUGUUGUGCCAAUGAAAUCACCUGAGAUUCUUCAACACUGAUUGAAGGUUUCACAUGUGUAUCUCAGAAUCUGCUUUUCUUUAUCCUGCUCAGGUGAUGCCUGUUAAAGGUGUCUUUCUGGCAACCAGGGGGGAGCUGCCUCCCUGUAGGCAGGGAAGUUUCUAACCAAAGCACUUUUCCAGUCUCCUCAGAGUGAGUGAGCUACUCUGCCAAAAGUAACUUGUUGUGUACAGGCCUUCUGAAGAGAGUUGUGGUAGCUCUUCAUUUUGACCAGGUUAUGAAGGCUGUUCACUGAAGGUGCCAGAGAGAGCUGAGGAAGACUGGCAGAGACACUUGUGCUACCGUUGCUCUUGCUGCCUCCCAUGUGUCUGGAAAUGGUCCAAAUACAUGCAAACAGAAACAUCUGACCUCAAGAUAUCAAUGAGCACUUCAAAGUGCCGAUCUGCUCAUUCAUUUUGACUGUCAUCAUGGUCAAGGCAUUGAGAAGAUGACAAACCUGAUCAAGACCAUGCUGUGUAUGUUCUCUGAGGAGGGAUGGAGGAGAAGACAAACAUUUGUAGGAAGGGAAGAUUUCCACUCCCUCUCUCCCUGUAAAGGCCACAAUAAAUACGAGUGUUGGAGAAAAAUAAAUGUGAGGAGGAGACGUGCGCACCUGAUGUUGAAGAAAAGCCUGUUCAUGCUUAGUAUGUUGGAGAAAUUGUUCAAGGGCUGCUCAUCCAUGUUAAAAAAUAUUACCCCUGUAAUUCUGCCAAGGACAGUGAGACCUAUUGUAGUUGACUGAAUAAGUACUGGUCGUUCAAGUUAAAGUGUCAUAAGGGCAGCAAUAAUUUAUACACCCAAUUUUUCUAACACAUCCAAAACAUUUUUAAGCAUUAGGC